rnacentral:rRNA from 1 species
ACGCGAAAGCCCCCUUCGGGGGGCAAGUAGAGUGGCGCACGGGUGAGUAACACGUAGGUAAUCUACCUUUGGAUGGGGAAUAACCACCGGAAACGGUGGCUAAUACCGCAUAAUGCAGCGGCACCUAAUGGUGACAGUUGUUAAAGCGGGGGAUCGCAAGACCUCGCGUCUGAAGAGGGGCCUGCGGCAGAUUAGCUAGUUGGUAAGGUAACGGCUUACCAAGGCGAUGAUCUGUAGCCGGCCUGAGAGGGCGGUCGGCCACACUGACACUGACAUACGGGUCAGACUCCUACGGGAGGCAGCAGUCGGGAAUUUUGGGCAAUGGGCGAAAGCCUGACCCAGCAACGCCGCGUGAAGGAUGAAAUCCCUCGGGAUGUAAACUUCGCAAGAACGGGAAGAAUAAGUAAGGGUUAAUAUCUCUUACGAUGACGGUACCGUUUGUAAGCUCCGGCUAACUCCGUGCCAGCAGCCGCGGUAAUACGGGGGGAGCAAGCGUUG